rnacentral:rRNA from 1 species
UCUAAUACCGGAUACGAGCCUCCACCGCAUGGUGGCGGUUGGAAAGCUCCGGCGGUGCAGGAUGAGCCCGCGGCCUAUCAGCUUGUUGGUGAGGUAACGGCUCACCAAGGCGACGACGGG